rnacentral:rRNA from 1 species
GAGUCAUUGGGACUCAAUGUUAAACCUAAAGGCGCAAUGAAAGUAAAGGUCCGCCUCGCGCGGACCGAGGGAGGAUGGGCCCGUCCGCGGACGGGCCCCGCACUCCCGGGGCGUCUCGUUCUCACAGCGAGAAGAGGCGCACCCAGAGCGUACACGCUGGGACCCGAAAGAUGGUGAACUAUGCCUGGUCAGGACGAAGUCAGGGGAAACCCUGAUGGAGGUCCGUAGCGAUUCUGACGUGCAAAUCGAUCGUCGGAACUGGGUAUAGG